UACGUAGGGUGCAAGCGUUGUCCGGAAUUAUUGGGCGUAAAGGGCUCGUAGGCGGUCCAUCGCGUCGGGAGUGAAAAGCUGGGGCUCAACCCCAGUCCUGCUUCCGAUACGGGUGGACUAGAGGUAUGCAGGGGAGAACGGAAUUCCUGGUGUAGCGGUGAAAUGCGCAGAUAUCAGGAGGAACACCGGUGGCGAAGGCGGUUCUCCGGGCAGUAACUGACGCUGAGGAGCGAAAGCGUGGGGAGCGAACAGG
rnacentral:rRNA from 1 species